rnacentral:tRNA from 1 species
GUUCUUGUAGUUGAAUAACAACAGUAGUUUUUCAGAUUAAAGGUCUUAGUUAAAGUCUAAGUAGGAAUAA